GAUGAACGCUGGCGGCGUGCCUAAUACAUGCAAGUCGAGCGAACAGACGAGGAGCUUGCUCCUCUUACGUUAGCGGCGGACGGGUGAGUAACACGUGGAUAACCUACCUAUAAGACUGGGAUAACUUCGGGAAACCGGAUCUAAUACCGGAUAACAUGUUGAACCGCAUGGUUCAACAGUGAAAGACGGUCUUGCUGUCACUUAUAGAUGGAUCCUCGCCGCAUUAGCUAGUUGGUAAGGUAACGGCUUACCAAGGCAACGAUGCGUAGCCGACCUGAGAGGGUGAUCGGCCACACUGGAACUGAGACACGGUCCAGACUCCUACGGGAGGCAGCAGUAGGGAAUCUUCCGCAAUGGGCGAAAGCCUGACGGAGCAACGCCGCGUGAGUGAAGAAGGUCUUCGGAUCGUAAAACUCUGUUAUUAGGGAAGAACAAAUGUGUAAGUAAAUAUGCACGUCUUGACGGUACCUAAUCAGAAAGCCACGGCUAACUACGUG
rnacentral:rRNA from 1 species